UACGAAGGGGACUAGCGUUGUUCGGAUUUACUGGGCGUAAAGCGCGCGUAGGCGGAUCGCUAAGUCAGGGGUGAAAUCCCAGGGCUCAACCCUGGAACUGCCUUUGAUACUGACGACCUGGAGAUCGGGAGAGGUUGGUGGAAUUCCGAGUGUAGAGGUGAAAUUCGUAGAUAUUCGGAGGAACACCAGAAGCGAAGGCGGCCAACUGGCCCGAUACUGACGCUGAGGCGCGAAAGCGUGGGGAGCAAACAGG
rnacentral:rRNA from 1 species